rnacentral:rRNA from 1 species
GAUGAACGCUGGCGGCGUGCCUAAUACAUGCAAGUCGAGCGAAUGGAUUAAGAGCUUGCUCUUAUGAAGUUAGCGGCGGACGGGUGAGUAACACGUGGGUAACCUGCCCAUAAGACUGGGAUAACUCCGGGAAACCGGGGCUAAUACCGGAUAACAUUUUGAACCGCAUGGUUCGAAAUUGAAAGGCGGCUUCGGCUGUCCCUUAUGGAUGGACCCGCGUCGCAUUAGCUAGUUGGUGAGGUAACGGCUCACCAAGGCAACGAUGCGUAGCCGGACUGAGAGGGUGAGCGGCCACACUGGGACUGAGACACGGCCCAGACUCCUACGGGAGGCAGCAGUAGGGAAUCUUCCGCAAUGGACGAAAGUCUGAUGGAGCAACGCCGCGUGAGUGAUGAAGGCUUUCGGGUCGUAAAACUCUGUUGUUAGGGAAGAACAAGUGCUAGUUGAAUAAGCUGGCACCUUGACGGUACCUAACCAGAAAGCCACGGCUAACUACGUGCCAGCCGCCGCCGUAA